CCUACGGGCGGCUGCAGUGAGGAAUAUUGGUCAAUGGACGAGAGUCUGAACCAGCCAAGUAGCGUGAAGGAUGACUGCCCUAUGGGUUGUAAACUUCUUUUAUAUGGGAAUAAAAUGUUCCACGUGUGGGAUUUUGUAUGUACCAUAUGAAUAAGGAUCGGCUAACUCCGUGCCAGCAGCCGCGGUAAUACGGAGGAUCCGAGCGUUAUCCGGAUUUAUUGGGUUUAAAGGGAGCGUAGGUGGAUUGUUAAGUCAGUUGUGAAAGUUUGCGGCUCAACCGUAAAAUUGCAGUUGAAACUGGCAGUCUUGAGUACAGUAGAGGUGGGCGGAAUUCGUGGUGUAGCGGUGAAAUGCUUAGAUAUCACGAAGAACUCCGAUGGCGAAGGCAGUUCACUGGACUGCAACUGACACUGAGGCUCGAAAGUGUGGGUAUCAAACAGGAUUAGAUACCCGUGUAGUC
rnacentral:rRNA from 1 species